rnacentral:rRNA from 1 species
UACAGAGACUGCAAGCGUUAUUCGGAUUCACUGGGCGUAAAGGGUGCGCAGGCGGCCGUAUGUGUGAGGCGUGAAAGCCCGGGGCUUAACCCCGGAAUUGCACCUCAAACUAUACGGCUAGAGCAUUGGAGAGGGUAGCAGAAUUCAUGGUGUAGCAGUGAAAUGCGUAGAUAUCAGGAGGAACACCGGUGGCGAAGGCGACUUCCUGGCCUGUUCUUGACGCUGAGGCGCGAAAGCUAGGGUAGCAAACGGG